UGAGGAAUAUUGCACAAUGGGCGCAAGCCUGAUGCAGCAACGCCGCGUGAGGGACGAAGGCCAUCGGGUCGUAAACCUCUUUUCUGGGGGACGAGUAAGGACGGUACCUCGGGAAUAAGUCUCGGCUAACUACGUGCCAGCAGCCGCGGUAAAACGUAGGAGGCGAGCGUUAUCCGGAUUUACUGGGCGUAAAGCUUACGCAGGUGGCUUCGUGAGUCGGACAUGAAAGCUCCCGGUUUAACUGGGAGAGGUUGUUCGAUACUGCGAGGCUUGAGGUUGGGAGAGGGACGUGGAAUUCCCGGUGUAGUGGUGGAAUGCGUAGAUAUCGGGAGGAACACCAGUGGCGCAAGCGGCGUCCUGGCCCACACCUGACGCUGAGGUACGAAAGCGUGGGUAGCAAACAG
rnacentral:rRNA from 1 species